CCGGAUCCGUCGUCCAUUCGCCUGCAAUCUUAGUUUUUCUAUAUAUGCAAAUGUGGCUGUAACUGGCGCGGGCGGGGUUUUCAGGAGCCUAGUGGCACUGUGACCUCAGCGCCACCCGUCUGCAGAGCCGCCCGCUUAUGAAUAUUCAUCCCCCCUCCCUACGGCUCUCCUCACCGCUCUUAACUGGUCUUCACUGCGCAUGCCAGGAAUCGGCACAUGCGCAGCGAAGACCAGUUAGGAGCGGCAGCGAGAGGGAGAGCCGGAGGGAGGGGGAAAUGAAUAUUCAUAAGUGGGCGGUGCUGCGGACGGUUACAGCCACAUUUGCAUGUAUAGAAAAACUAAGAAUGCAGGUGAAUGGCUGGCCGGAUCCGGGCAAGGUCUGACAUCUUGGUCACUCAUGGCAGACAUGAAAAGAAAUGUAAGAUGAAGGUCAUCCCAGACUUAUUUCCAGACAAGUGUGCUCCAUCUUACCCACGAGCAUCAUCAAUGUACAGAGAUAUGCACUCUCCUGCACUCUCUCUAUCGAAUGAGGACUCUAGCAGCCAGUCCUCGGAGUGAAGUUACUUUUGAUUCCGCUCUAUGCCAGGUGUACUUGCAGCACACUGAGAGAUUAGCUUACAUGCUGCCCAUACAAGUCUACAGAGUGGUGAGGACGGAGAUGGGAAAAUGAGUAUGUGGAGAAACCAGAAGCCAAAAGUGACACAGAGAGACUGAAAACAGACAACACAAGAGCAUACCAUGACUGAAGCCAGGGCAGAUUAUCCACAUUGAAGAAGUUCUUCUAUAAAUUGAGAAGAAGAUAUUAUAGCAUCUGCUGAGAGUUCCACUGUAAGAAAUGUACCGAGGGCCUAGAGGAUUAAUUGUGCCUUCAACCAGGUUACUGCACACUCUAAAAGGUGACCACAUGUCACUAGGGAGUAUGCACCUGAGUUCACAUAGCUGAGCAUC